GUGAACCUGCGGAAGGAUCAUUAUUGAAAACAUUGUAAAGGAGGUUGAGCUGGCUCUUGUAGGGCAUGUGCUCGCCGACUUUCAAUAUUCAUCCACCUGUGAACCUUUUGUAGCAGAUUCUGGAAUAGGGAGGCGCUUGCGUUUCUCUUAGUACGGAGUCUACUAUGUUUGUUUUUUAACACACUUAAUGUAUGUUUAGAAUGUAUUUUAUUGGGACUUAAUUGACCCUUUAAAACUAUACAACUUUCAGCAACGGAUCUCUUGGCUCUCGCAUCGAUGAAGAACGCAGCGAAAUGCGAUAAGUAAUGUGAAUUGCAGAAUUCAGUGAAUCAUCGAAUCUUUGAACGCACCUUGCGCCUCUUGGUAUUCCGAGAGGCAUGCCUGUUUGAGUGUCAUUAAAUUAUCAACCUUGAAUGACUUGUCAUUUCAGGAUUGGAUGUGAGGGCUGCCGGCUUUGAACAAGAGUCGGCUCUCUUGAAAUGCAUUAGUGGAAACCGCUAUAGUGGACCACAUUGGUGUGAUAAUUAUCUACGCCAUUGGGUUUAUCUACGCUUUCGAAUGUUGGUGGCUCUUUAAUUAGGUCUCAACACUUCGGUUUGGAGGGUUGCAAGUUGUAAUGACCUGCUCUCUCUGGGGUAUCUGCUUCGAACCGUCCAAAGUUACUGGACAAUGAACUUAGAUCAUUUUGACCUCAAAUCAGGUAGGACUACCCGCUGAACUUAAGCAUAUCAAUAAGCGGAGGAAAAGAAACUAACAAGGAUUCCCCUAGUAACUGCGAGUGAAGAGGGAAAAGCUCAAAUUUAAAAUCUGGCAGUCUCUGGCUGUCCGAGUGAAUUAGAGAAGG
rnacentral:rRNA from 1 species